GUCUAAGAAAAUAAUGUGUAUAUGUUAAUUUAAAAAUACUUAUUGUUAACAACCAUCUGAGACUUCAAUGAGUCAGACUCCUUUUUUCUGCUGGAGGAUCUUACCUUGAUGUUGAUGAUUGCUUACUGAUCUGCAUGGUGGUUGAUGGUGGUUGCUGAAGGUUGGGUGGCUGUGGCCAUUUCUAAAAAUAAGACAAUAAGGAAGUUUGCAACAUCAAUUGACUCUUUCUUUCAUGAAAUAUUUCUCUGUAAUAUGUUCUCUGAUGCUACUUGAUAGCAUUUUAUUAACUGCAGAACUUCUUUUAAAACUGGAGGCAGUUUUCUGAAGCCCUACUGGUGCUUUAUCAAAUAAGUGAAUAUAGAAUAUUCUAAAUCCUUUGUCAUUUCAAUGAUGUUCACAGCAUCUUCAACAGGAAUACACUCUGUCUCAAGAAACUUCUUUCUUUUUCCAUAGGAAGCAACUUCUCAUCUGUUCAAGUUUCAUCAUAGGAUUGAAGUAAUUCAGUCACAUCUUCAGGUUUCACUUCUGAUUAUACUUCCCUUGCCAUCUCCAUAACAUCUGCAAUUAGUUGCGUCACUGAAGUCUUGAAUUCCUCCAAGUGAUUCAUGAGUGUUGGAAUCAGCUUCUUCCAAAUCUCUGUCAUCAGGGAUGCAUCUACUUUAUUGGAUGGCAAAAUAGAAAAUGCCUCUUACAAUCGCCACAUAAAAAGGUUACUGAGAAGUGCCACUUGGUUUCAGUGCCUGCAAUAUCAACUCAUCAUUUCUUGGAAAGGAAAAAAGACAGUGAGAGGGCCUACAAAAGAAUUGGUAGUAAACAUGAGUUAUGAAAGUAAGAAUGGAAAAUUGCUUUCAUUUUUCCAGGCUCUACAUCUGCUAUAAUGUAUAGAAGAAAAAAUUCAAGGCUGCAUUAGGUUAACUGAGAUCAGACUAUAAUCCAUUUUAUAGCUUGCCAGUAAUGCAUUGGUUUCCUGUGAAUUAUUUAAUAUCCCAGAAAGUAACUGGGUUUGAACACCCUAACAAGUUUGGCCUCAGUUCAGAGAUUCCAACAGCAAAGGGUAUUGGUGCAGCACUAAGAGAAGGAACCAAGAGUAGUUAGAAAAGGUCAGAUAGAAGCCAGAUCACCCAUAGUAGGAGAAAGUGCAGUGCAAAAGGCCCUUCUCUAGUCAUCUGAAAGAUCGUAUGUUCUUUCCACAUCUCUAUCAAUUUUUGAGCACAUCUUUAAUUUUUGGCUCAAGAAGAUGUUCAAGGCUCCCCUUGUAGCUUUACUUCAUCAGUCCCAGGAUCAGUCAUUUCUUCAAGAAGUUCUGCGUCCUUUGAUGUGAAGAAUAAAGAUCAGGAUCAUUGUUUCUUCUCUUGGUCUUUACAGCAGAC
rnacentral:lncRNA from 1 species